rnacentral:rRNA from 1 species
GACAGAGGGUGCAAACGUUGCUCGGAAUUACUGGGCGUAAAGGGCGUGUAGGCGGGAAGGCAAGUCGGGCGUGAAAGCCCCAGGCUCAACCUGGGAACUGCACUCGAAACUGCCUUUCUUGAGUGCCGGAGAGGAAAGCGGAAUUCCUGGUGUAGAGGUGAAAUUUGUGGAUAUCAGGAGGAACAACCAGUGGCGAAGGCGGCUUUCUGGACGGUAACUGACGCUGAGACGCGAAAGCGUGGGGAGCAAACAGG